CCAGAAAUGAAAUAUACGCGGUGGGACAUAUUAUAAUAAUACAGACUCAGAUGAAAUGAAUACUCCAGUAUUAAAUGGAAAUGAGGGAACACAGAACAGAUAAAAAUCAUCCGAUGUAAGUCUUAUACUCCGGAGGACAUCCGAGAAAGCAACAGCCAUCUUCUAUAGCAGAAGCAAUGAUAUUACAGAAGCAGCUGUUAUAGCGAAUUUUGAAUUUUUGAGACAUACAGACAUGGACAUGGAAGAGGAAGAAGGAGAUGGAGACGAUGAAAUUUAUACAGAUACCAGAUACCAGAUAUCAAACCAAAUAACGCAUCUAUCCCCCUUCUAACGGAAGGUGUUGAUAUAGAUGCAGAGGUAGAAGUAUUAAAUGAAUUAAAUCUCCUCACAGAAAUUGAAGAAUCGCCACCUUUUUUUAAAAUGUGGAUAUUGUCCUAGGCCACCUCCAAAACUACCUUCGGGUGAUUGACACUUAGCUAGAAAGCCUGCUAUCUUGGAAUAUUCCUCGUCUCCCAAACGUUCUCCUAAUAUUUCAAGUGAAUGCAAUAUCCAAUAACACAGCCAAGGUUUGCUGCAGUCCAAACACUAUAAUUAUAAAUACUCAAGAUAUACUGUUAUGUUUGAAUUGUCAUAUAUAAAAAUAAUAUAUCA